AAAGUCGUAACAAGGUUUCCGUAGGUGAACCUGCGGAAGGAUCAUUAUCGUCGGUAGUCUACUACCGUUUGAGGGAGAUGGAAACUUCUCAGGCGUGCCUGGGAAGAAGUACAGCUCUUUUCUUAACCCUUGACUUUUUGCGCACUCACGUUUCCUCGGCAGGCUUGCCUGCCGGCUGGACAACCUAAUAACCUUUUUAAUUUUUAAAUCAGCGUCUGAAUAAUUAUAAUAAUUACAACUUUCAACAACGGAUCUCUUGGUUCUG
rnacentral:misc_RNA from 1 species